GAUGAACGCUGGCGGCGUGCCUAAUACAUGCAAGUCGAGCGAGCGGACGAGAAGCUUGCUUCUCUGAUGUUAGCGGCGGACGGGUGAGUAACACGUGGAUAACCUACCUAUAAGACUGGGAUAACUUCGGGAAACCGGAGCUAAUACCGGAUAAUAUUUUGAACCGCAUGGUUCAAAAGUGAAAGACGGUCUUGCUGUCACUUAUAGAUGGAUCCGCGCUGCAUUAGCUAGUUGGUAAGGUAACGGCUUACCAAGGCAACGAUGCAUAGCCGACCUGAGAGGGUGAUCGGCCACACUGGAACUGAGACACGGUCCAGACUCCUACGGGAGGCAGCAGUAGGGAAUCUUCCGCAAUGGGCGAAAGCCUGACGAAGCAACGCCGCGUGAGUGAUGAAGGUCUUCGGAUCGUAAAACUCUGUUAUUAGGGAAGAACAUAUGUGUAAGUAACUGUGCACAUCUUGACGGUACCUAAUCAGAAAGCCACGGCUAACUACGUG
rnacentral:rRNA from 1 species